CUCAACCAUCUUGGGCUAAACCAAAUCAAAUCACUAUCCUUGAAGAUUUUGAAAUUAAAAGCUUGCUUUUAUUACUAAAGGAAUAAGGAUACAUAAAUGCAUAAACAUAAAAAUCCUUAUAGAUUACUACAAUUAGUGAUGAAGAUGCAUAACAGUAAUGGAAGUCAGGUUUUUAUUUCCUUGCAACAUCAAAAAUGGUCCAAGAAGAAGGGCACUGCCCCAUGAGAACAAAUUGUCAGUGGAAAAUCUUAAAUCAUGAAUUUCAAUGAAUUUACGGAAAAGUGAAAUGAUCUUUAUCUAAAAGCAAAAUAGAAAGUGCAAAAUAGUAUAGUAAAAGAAAGGAAUCUCCUAAUUUUGAUGGAGAUUUCCAUCACUAUGAAAUGCCAUUACAAGUCAUGAUCCUACCAAAUUUUGUUAAAUUCAGGGAAAGAAAGAGAGAAUGAGCAAAGGUAUGCCCACCACCGCAGGCCUUAUGGUGGCCUGAUCCACCAUCCCGGAGGCCUUAUGUUAUGACACAACUUUUUAUUAGAAGUUUCUUUUUACUACUUCAUCUUUGCUUGAUUAGACUCUUGAAUCAAAAGCUAAGAGAUGGUGGUCCUGAAAUGCCUGUUCUGCCACUGCAUUCAACAGGAAAACCCUCUGCAAUCAAAAGCUAAGAGAUGGUGAUGCUGAAAUGCCUGUUCUGCACUGCAUUCAACAGGAAAACCUAAGAAAAUGAAUUGGUUUCAUAAAAAAAAAAAAAAGAAAAAAGAAUGGUUAUUGAUGCAAAACUCAAAUCACAAUAUAAUCAAGUGGCAGCGCUUGGGAAGUUAUUCAUCAAUAUUUAAUGAAAUAAUGGGUCAAAAAGAACAGAAAGAAUGCCCAUAGUGAAAACAUUGUGAGAGCGAUACCUGCCACAUGAUAUGUUGCAGUAUUAUAGCAGAAAAGUCCUAGACAGGAUUACCAGCUAGUGAUACGAUAAUAUUAUGAUGGUUUUGCUUUGCCCAUUUAAAAACGAAAGCCACCGCACUUGUUUGAAAGUACUGUUAUUUUACAAGUGCCGAUCAUCCAUUUCAUUCCUUGUAUAUAUUCAAAUGAAAAUAUUGAAAUCAUUAUCAGCAAUCACUUUCUUUAUCUUUAAGCAACUCUUUUUACCCUUCCAUUCAUCCAAAUAUCUGCUAUUUGGUAUAAACAACUAGAAAUUGAG
rnacentral:lncRNA from 1 species